rnacentral:rRNA from 1 species
AGAGUUUGAUCCUGGCUCAGAUUGAACGCUGGCGGCGUGCUUAACACAUGCAAGUCGUGCGAGAAAGGGGGCUUCGGUCCCUGAGUAGAGCGGCGCACGGGUGAGUAGCGCGUGGAUAAUCUCCCCAGAAGUUCGGGAUAACGGCGGGAAACUGCCGCUAAUACCGGAUACGCUCCAAUUUCGGUUGGGGGAAAGGCGGCCUCUGUUUACAAGCUGUCGCUUCUGGAUGAGUCCGCGUCCCAUUAGCUUGUUGGUGGGGUAAUGGCCUACCAAGGCUACGAUGGGUAGCUGGUCUGAGAGGAUGAUCAGCCACACUGGAACUGAAACACGGUCCAGACUCCUACGGGAGGCAGCAGUGGGGAAUAUUGCGCAAUGGGGGAAACCCUGAAAGGGAGCGACGCCGUGUGAGGGAUGAAGGCUUUCCCCUUUU